AGGACUGUUUACAUCGAAUUCUCGCGACAGCUGGUUCGAAGCUCAAAGCACGUGGACAUGGCAGCUGCCAAUCACUGUUAGGUGGCCACUCACACACCCCGAACUCGCCUUCUCCCAGGCCUUUAGCGAUGUGUUUACCUUCCGGGAGCCUAGGCUGCCUGGAGGCUGUUGGCAGCCCUGGAGCCGAGGAGGGGUUUGAUUAUCACUCACUCUGAGGAACAUUAGCUGCCAUGUUUUGAGCAACCCUUUGGUGAGACACAUGUGGCAAGGAACUGAGGCCUCCUGCCAACAACCAUACAAGUAAGCCUCAUUGGAAACAACAUCCUUCAGUCCCAGGCAAGCCUUAAAAUGACCAUAGCUCUGGAUGGUAUCUUAACCUGCAACUCCGUGAGACUGUAAUCCAGCUAAAAUGAACUCACAGGUCUAAAAGACAGAAAAUCCCUUCACAACAAAUUUACUUCAAAAUUGUCUGCAGUUGCUAUGUCUCCUUCUUGGAAAGAGCUGAUAAAAAUGAACCCUUCAGUACCCACAAAUUCUUUUUUAAAAACUAACCACAACCUGGCAUCGUGGGAUUGAGAACAUCUUCUUGACCAAAAGGGGGAUGCAAAAUGAAAUGAAAUAAAGCUUCAGUGGCUGAGAGAUUUCAAAUGGG